AAGUCACUUAAGCCCAACUUGGACAUCCACGGUCCAGCUCCAGCUCCAGCCCCACCUUCCAGAAACUGCUCGUACGAUCUCAAGAACGCCGCCUCCCCGGUUCCCGCACCCCCGUCGCCGCGCCGGUAGUCUGCCCGUCGCCGUCUCCUCCUCCAGAUCUGACCCGCCUGUCAACGUAGUCUGCCGGGAGUCCAUCACUGUGCCGGGGCGUUACUCCUCACCGCCGCUGUGUUGCCUCUUCUGCGGGGUUGAGGUGAAGGCGAAGGUGAAGCAGCAGGAUGGGUCGGAAGGCCGGUGCUUUGUACAUAAACCCAAAGAAGUUUGGUGCUAUGGCGAAGCCCUGCAUGCCGGAAAUGGUUGCCUUCCUCAACUGCCUAGCCUUAAACAAACAGAACGAUGACAAGUGCAUCAAGCAGAAAGAUCUUUUGGUUGCAUGCUCUCAGGCUCAGAAUGGGAGGCCAAAGAACGCAGCCAAGACCAUCAAUUACCAUCUCCAGCGACUUGGGCGAGGCAAGUUCCUCUAGGUGCUGUGUGAGAUCAUUUCUUCAUCCAGCUUUAUGCCUUGUACCGAAGUAGAAUUGCUGAAAUGGGGCAUUAAUGUGUUUGCUUAGAUUGGACAAUGAUCAGCAAAUAAUUUUAUGUCAAACAGUAAUGUAUGAGCAGUAUAUUGAUACUGUUUUCUUCUCAUCCUAUGAAGGCACAUUACAGUUACGUUUUCCAUCUAUACUGC
rnacentral:misc_RNA from 1 species